CAGCAGCCGCGGUAAUACGUAGGUGGCAAGCGUUGUCCGGAAUUAUUGGGCGUAAAGGGCUCGCAGGCGGUUUCUUAAGUCUGGUGUGAAAGCCCCCGGCUCAACCGGGGAGGGUCAUUGGAAACUGGGAAACUUGAGUGCAGAAGAGGAGAGUGGAAUUCCACGUGUAGCGGUGAAAUGCGUAGAGAUGUGGAGGAACACCAGUGGCAAAGGCGACUCUCUGGUCUGUAGCUGACGCUGAGGAGCGGAAGCGUGGGGAGCGAACAGGAUUAGAUACCCCCGUAGUCCCUGUCUCUUAUAC
rnacentral:rRNA from 1 species